rfam:Schistosoma rodhaini strain Burundi genome assembly, scaffold: SROB_scaffold0009264
AUCCAGCUGACAAGUCCCAAAUGGGACGAAACGAGCGUCGUGGAU